rnacentral:lncRNA from 1 species
UUAUCUUUUUUCUGUCUUGGUUUGUUAUUGUUGUUGCUGUUCAUUUUAGACUUUAUUUCUUUGAUAUUAACUAUCAGUCAUACAAAAUAACUGAAAAGAAACAAUUUUAGUAUUUAACUCUGUCUUGUAUUCAUUUCUAUGCCAGAUGAAUGACACGAAAUUCACAUAAAAUUCUGCUGUUGUGAUUUUUUGUGCUUUUCCAGGGUUCUUAGCACGUUAUGUACAUUGCAUGGGUAUAUGCUUUUAAUAUUUUUAUGUAUAAAAAGUGAAUUACAACAACUUUUUGGAAUUGAAACAUGGGCAUUUUUAUCUAAGUAAGUCAACAAUGGCAUAAUUCAUAUAAAUGAAAUGAGAGCAAUAACUCCCAAGUGGUUGAUCUUCUAACAUUAUUUUGUUUCCUAGUGCUGCCUCCAUCUAGUACAAAACCUCCAGCUUUGAGUCAUUCAGGUUUAGUAGCUUCUUCCUUAUAUGUCUUCUUCCUUAUAUGUUACAAGAUAUAAGGAAUUCCUGGAGAAAUUGCCAGCAAUAACUCCCAAGUGUUUGGUCCAAUCUACAUUAUUAUUUUGUUUUCCAGUGUCGACUUCUUCCACUACAAAAUCUCCAGCGUCCAGUGCCUCAGGUCCUAGGCCUACUUACAAGCCUCCAGUCUCAAAUUAUCCAG